rnacentral:rRNA from 1 species
GGGGAUAACGUCCCGAAAGGGACGCUAAUACCGCAUAACAUCCUGCCUUUCAAGAGGUGGAGAUUCAAGCAUGAGCAAGCUAGCACUCGAAGAGGGGCCCGCGUCCGAUUAGCUAGUUGGUGAGGUAACGGCUCACCAAGGCAACGAUCGGUAGCCGGCCUGAGAGGGCGGACGGCCACACUGGGACUGAGACACGGCCCAGACUCCUACGGGAGGCAGCAGUGGGGAAUUGUUCGCAAUGGGCGCAAGCCUGACGACGCAACGCCGCGUGGAGGAUGA